rnacentral:rRNA from 1 species
AUGAACGCUGGCGGCGUGCCUAAUACAUGCAAGUCGAGCGAACAGACGAGGAGCUUGCUCCUCUGACGUUAGCGGCGGACGGGUGAGUAACACGUGGAUAACCUACCUAUAAGACUGGGAUAACUUCGGGAAACCGGAGCUAAUACCGGAUAAUAUAUUGAACCGCAUGGUUCAAUAGUGAAAGACGGUUUUGCUGUCACUUAUAGAUGGAUCCGCGCCGCAUUAGCUAGUUGGUAAGGUAACGGCUUACCAAGGCGACGAUGCGUAGCCGACCUGAGAGGGUGAUCGGCCACCCUGGAACUGAGCCACGGUCCAGACUCCUACGGGAGGCAGCAGUAGGGAAUCUUCCGCAAUGGGCGAAAGCCUGACGGAGCAACGCCGCGUGAGUGAUGAAGGUCUUCGGAUCGUAAAACUCUGUUAUUAGGGAAGAACAAAUGUGUAAGUAACUAUGCACGUCUUGACGGUACCUAAUCAGAAAGCCACGGCUAACUACGUG